rnacentral:RNase_P_RNA from 1 species
GCGGAAGGCCGGACGGCCGCUGCCCCGGAAACGGGGGAGAGGAAAGUCCGGACUCGCUGAAGCAUCGGUGCCGGGUAACUCCCGGGCAGGGCAACCUGACGGAAAGCGCCACAGAAAACAAACCGCCGUCGCACCCGCGGUUCGCCAAGGGAGCCUGCGACGGUAAGGAUGAAACGGUGGGGUAAGAGCCCACCGGGGGACUGGCAACAGGCCCCGCACGGCAAGCCCCACCGGGAGCAACGCCAAAUAGGGACGUCGCGCACGCCUGAUCCUUUACGGGAUAUCGGUGCAGGGCCGCUUCAGCCCGAGACGUCCGGGUUGGCAGCUAGAGUUGGCAGGCAACUGUCCGCCUAGAGGAAUGGUCGUCGAGGGGUUCGGGCAACCGGACCCUGAACAGAAUCCGGCUUACAGGCCUUCCGCGCAU